rnacentral:tRNA from 1 species
GCGCCCAUAGCUCAGCUAGGUAGAGCAGCUGCCUUUUAAGCAGAAGGUCCCAGGUUCGAUUCCUGGUGGGCGUACCG